rnacentral:rRNA from 1 species
CGGGCGACGCGGCGGUCUAAGUCCCUUGGAACGGGGCGUCAUAGAGGGUGAGAAUCCCGUAUGUGACCGGUGGCCGAGCCCAUGCGAAACCCCUUCGACGAGUCGAGUUGUUUGGGAAUGCAGCUCAAAACGGGUGGUAAAUCUCAUCUAAAGCUAAAUACCGGCCAGAGACCGAUAGCGCACAAGUAGAGUGAUCGAAAGAUGAAAAGCACUUUGGAAAGAGAGUCAAAAAGUACGUGAAAUUGUUGAAAGGGAAGCGCUUGCAACCAGACCUGCCCGCGGGUGUUCCACCGUCCUUCGGGGCGGCGUACUCGCCCGCGAUCAGGCCAGCAUCGGUUCGGGCGGCCGGAUAAAGGCCCUGGGAACGUAGCUCCCUUCGGGGAGUGUUAUAGCCCAAGGUGCAAUGCGGCCCGCCCGGACCGAGGCCCGCGCUUCGGCGAGGAUGCUGGCGUAAUGGUUGUAAGCGGCCCGUCUUGAAACACGGACCAAGGAGUCGACCAACUAUGCGAGUGUUUGGGCGUCAAACCCACACGCGCAAUGAAAGUGAACGGAGGUGGGAACCUUCGCGGGGGCGCACCAUCGACCGAUCCAGAUGUCUUCGGAUGGAUUUGAGUACGAGCAUAGCUGGUCGGACCCGAAAGAUGAUGAACUAUGCCUGAAUAGGGUGAAGCCAGAGGAAACUCUGGUGGAGGCUCGCAGCGGUUCUGACGUGCAAAUCGAUCGU